GCAGUCGGCCGCCUCCCUCCGCGCGCUGGACGCUCCGCCGCCGCCCGCCCGCCGGCCGCACCGCAGGAGCCCCUGCCUCAAGACCAGCUCAACACCAGCUGUGGUCGUGUUUUGGAGAUUCGGGACCCUAUUUCCAAAGGAGAGUUGCAGGGGACAAGUUUCUGUUUGUUAUUUUCAAAACCAAGCAAAGGAAACAGCAGCCAAUUAAAAUGACAUAUUUUUAUUCGCCUCGGCACGUUGUCAGUGAUUUGCCCCCGGGGAUCCACAAUUUUCCCAAGCCUGUUAACGGGAGACGAUGAAUGAGGGCCUCGUGUAAUUUAAUUUUCCUGUCACACUAAAUAGAGUUACAUUGUCAACCUUAGAUCUACUCUUACUGAUAGGAUCGCCUUGUUUUGCCAUUUGCACCAUAAAGACCCCCAAAAGGGACACUAUAUUGUGACCUCUACUCUUGAAUUAUUCAAGAACUUAAUGACAUUUUCCAUUUUAAAAAGGGAACUAAUUGCCAUUGAUGUAAAGCAUGUGACCUUCUCUGGGUGCCCAGUAUGAGAAUGUUGCCAUCUGUAUGUGGCCAGAGCUGAGCUUCGGAACUGCAGGGCUCGGGCCAACAUAGGAGAAAGAUGUGAACAGAAGUGGGUGCCAAAGGGACCCCGCCAUCAAGCACAUUGUUUAAUUUCACCCCUUGCCCUGACCUACAAUUCCACAAAAAGACCUCUAAUCUGACCUGAAAUCUGUUCAAAAUCUCACAUCAACGCAGGCUGUUUUUUGAAAUGUGAUUUUUUUUUUUAAGGUACGUUGAAAAAUUUUGAAAUCCAGCAUCCUUUUGUUAAUGUGCAAUUUAUUUGUGUGAUAUCAAGCAAAAUAUGCAGCCAUCUCCUCCCCUCUUUUUUGGGGGUGGGAGCUUUUAAUAAUGUUUUUACUACUUUCUUACUCUAAAGAAAAUAAAAACUCAGAACUGUAAAGAAACUGCACCUUGGUGUUUGCUGUUUGAAUUGGUCUGGUUGAGUUUCCAGAAGAGCCGGCAUUGAAAUUCUACAGUAUCAGAAUUCUCACUCUUCAAAUUACUUGAAAACGGAGGCUUAUCUUUCCUCAAAGUAAAAGAAUUCCGUGUAUUCCCUACUGGUCCGUACUCCUUCCCCAGAGGAAAGCAAAAUGAGAGAAAAUGGGCUUGUAGCGAGGUUCUUUGGCUUCGUAAAUUCACAGAUCGGUGUCUGUAGAUGAUCUGAUGCUUUUCCUGAUUAACCGAGUAAGUCUCCUGCCAACAUCAACCAUUUAAAAAGUCUGAGUGAAUUGGGAAGUAAGACACUGGGCUACAGAUAUUUCUUUGGAAAUUUUAAGUGAUGUUUGAGACAAGGAACCUUCAUUUCUGCAUCGAGUGGGCAGCUGCUUUACAAAUGACACCGAAUACACACAUCCUGGCUUCCCUGAGACUAAAUAUUCUCUGUGGUAGCCUGUGAAUCCACAUCUUUCUCUCCUUGGAUCUCUGGAAAAGACUAUCAAGUGCAUUUACACAUCCGACGUGGUGCGAAGGAGGCCCACGUUAUAUGUCAACACACUGGACACAAUCGCUCCCGGUACAGCCUGGACUCAGAAUGCCCGGGCCUCCAUCUGUUUGAAAGGAAUUUGCCAUGAAGCUGUUGUUGUCCAAAUCAAAUAACAGAGUGAUUGUUUUCAUAUUUCUUUAAAAGGAACCGGUUUCCCUCCUUGGUCCUAUGCUCUGUGUGUACACGGCAACAUGGCAGGAAAAAAAUGAAUAAGGAUAUGUAGUUCUUAUUGCCAGAUAAAAAGGAUGUACAUAAAAAAAAUACAUAUGAAACAUUUUCGAGUCAAGAAAAGUUGGAACAGGUGUGGAGUCGUGCUCAGCAGCCAGGAAACCCUCAGGUGAAGCCACAUCCUGCCCAAGCAUCUCGGCAGACGCACAAUGUACAUCUCCCCUCGUUGCUGAUAUUGAUUUUAAUCACAAAGGUCACUGACUUCUGCAAAACUCUUAAAAAGGAACAGCCUCUGAAGGUAAUUUCCUAGAAUCAGUGUCUGAGAAUGGAACACGGAGUGUGAAUGUUUUCUUGGUGGAAGGAAGCCAGGCAGACACAUUCUAGCACAGAAACUGUGCUUUUGUGCAGCUGGAUUAUUGGGCGUGACUGAGUCUCCACUCCAGCGCGAAAGGCAGCAGGGCCAGGACACAUGCACAGUUAAUGUCCACUGGAGCUGGGGUCUCAGAUGUCAGGGGACACCCUCCAUCCGGCACUAAGCUUUGGGAAACAGAAGUCCAGACCCUGUGUUUAUUCUCCAUCAAUCGGGCAAUUCCUGGAGAAGGAGGCUGGCUGGAGGGCAUCCACGUAGAUGGGGUCCCAGUCUCUCUCCUCUCUGAUAUUUGUACAUCCUGCUUGGGGAAAGAUAUGGGGGGAUUGUUACCCUACUUCCAGGGACACUGAUUGGAGUGGGGUGGCUGGAAUAUAGCCUCAGUGUCAGAAAAGGUCUGGAUAAGACUAAAUGUAAGUGUACCUUGUAUAAUCAUAAAAUUGCCUAUUGUAUCUCCUUGACUCUAAGAGGCUGGCCUCAGAGUUCCCAUCAUGGCUCAGUGGUUAGCAAAUCUGACUAGGAACCAUGAGGUUGCGGGUUCGAUCCCUGGCCUUGCUCAGCGGGUUAAGGAUCCAGCAUUGCUGUGGGCUGUGGUGUGUGGCUCAGAUCCCAUGUUGCUGUGGUGGGAUCCCUAGCCUGGGAACCUCCAUAUGCCAUGGGUGCAGCCCUAGAAAAG
rnacentral:lncRNA from 1 species